rnacentral:rRNA from 1 species
GGAUUAGAUACCCUGGUAGUCCACGCCGUAAACGAUGAGCACUAGUUGUUGGGGGUAUUGACCCCUCCAGUGACGUAGCAAACGCAUUAAGUGCUCCGCCUGGGGAGUACGGUCGCAAGAUUAAAACUCAAAGGAAUUGACGGGGGCCCGCACAAGCGGUGGAUGAUGUGGUUUAAUUCGAAGCAACGCGCAAAACCUUACCUGGACUUGAAAUCCCACGAACUUUUCAGAGAUGAAUUGGUGCCCUUCGGGGAAUGUGGUGACAGGCGCUGCAUGGCUGUCGUCAGCUCGUGCCG